AUGGUUUCAAAGUAUGGACCUGAUGCAAGCAAGUACUUAGAGAAAUGGCAAGCAAUGACAAAGGCCAAUCCGAAGGUAAGCUGGCCAAGGUGGGGUUCACUUAAUGAGGAAAGGAUGUGGUUUCUGCAGUCUGUUUUAAGUGAAGCAGGUCAAGAAAUUGAAGGAGACGAAAGAGAAAUCUUCAACCAAUGGCUCGAGGAGUACACCCAGAGAAAACACAGGUCAGAACGAUCCGUAGAACAAGAGACGGGUAAGAACAAGAGAAAGGUAAGGGAGGAGGAGGAGAAUCAAGGUGAACAAGGCAGGGAAGCCACUAAAAAGCAAAUAGCUGAUUUACAGAAGGAGGUAGAAAGCCUUAAAGAACUCCUGAAAGGCUCUAGCAACCCAGCAACCUCUUUAGACAGCAUACCUGAGCCCCUAGAAUCGCCUGAGGCACCCAUCCCUCAAUUCCCCUUUAAAAUUAAGGGAAGGGAAGGAACCAAAACAAUGCAGGUAUCUUUUACUCCUUGGACAAAAACAGAGCUCAGAGCCAUGGCCAAGGAAUUCCCAAAGGUUAGAGAAAACCCCAUAGCAUUUGCCAAGGAAUUUGAAUUAACUCUCUCUACAUACCAGCCUGGCCUAUCAGACCUUUACCAGCUAGCUCACAUACUAGUAGGUUCAGGAGAUGCAGCCCACUGGUUUAAAACUGCAAGUUGGGAGAACCCUUUAGAAUAUAUUAAUCAGUUAAUGGCCAGAAAGGAAGGACCUGAAGUCCAUCUUCAGGAGGCAAAGAAGAUGGGAGAGGCUUUGUUAGAAGCAAUCCCCAAGGCCUUUCCAAAAUCUGUAAAUUGGGGAAAAAUCCAAAUUUGCACUCAGAAAGAAGGAGAAUCUGUAUUUGAUUUUUAUAAUAGAUUUUUAGAUACCUUCAGGGCAAAUUCUGGACUUUCCCCAGAUAGCCCAGACACCUUAAUUACCUUUAACACCCUCUAUGUGGAAGGGUUAAAUAAGGCCCUUGCAAAUCUCCUCAAGAGAGGGAAAGUAGACUGGAAUUUAACUCCCACCCCUGACCUAGUCUAUCUAGCAAGUAAAUUCCAACAAACACUGACAGAAGAAAAGGAGAAGGCAGCAGAGGAAAUGACAAAUAAAACCAACCAGAUCAUGAAUUUGCAGUUAAAACACUGGGAGUUUUGA
rnacentral:lncRNA from 1 species